CCGUGCUAGACGGGGAGGUAGCGGUGCCCUGUUGCCCGCAAUCCGCUACAGCGGGGUUGAAUUCCUGUUAGAGGUCUUAUCGAUGUGAGGUCUGACAUUCGCACGUAGUGUUGAGAGUCGGGUCCUCCGCAAUGAAUGCUUGUGAACCCGGUCAGGUCUGGAAGGAAGCAGCCGUAAGCAGGAUUGUUCAUGUGCCGGGGGAGUGCCUAACUUGAGCUAACGACGAAGGUGUCGCUCGGAUCGUAAGCAUCAAUAACAGGUGCACGG
rnacentral:SRP_RNA from 1 species